rnacentral:rRNA from 1 species
UACGUAGGGUGCAAGCGUUGUCCGGAAUUAUUGGACGUAAAGAGCUCGUAGGCGGCUCGUUGCGUCGGCUGUGAAAACCCGCAGCUCAACUGUGGGCCUGCAGCCGAUACGGGCGGGCUAGGAUUCGGUAGGGGAGACUGGAAUUCCUGGUGUAGCGGUGAAAUGCGCAGAUAUCAGGAGGAACACCGGUGGCGAAGGCGGGUCUCUGGGCCGAUAUCGACGCUGAGGAGCGAAAGCGUGGGGAGCGAACAGG